CAAAAAGACCAGUCCGUCCUUAAGGCGGACACUGAUCGCAAGGACCACCCUGAGCGUAAAUCAUCCUCAAUCUCAAUCCUUUAGUCGAAGGAAGUCCGCAAUGAAUGUUCCCCCAGCGUCAAACUAAUACGUCAGCCAGAGCCAUGAGCCAGAGGACAAAGCAUUUGCAACACCAAUUGGAAAACUUGUAUAAAAUAAAUAAAUAAUAAUAAUAAUAAU